rnacentral:rRNA from 1 species
ACCGGGGUGGCGGUAAACCGGCGUGGGGAACCUUGCCCCCUUUGGUUUCGGGAAAUAAACAAGUUAAGAAAAUGACUGCUAAUACCGGGAUGAUGACGAAAAGUCCCAAAAGAAUUUAUCGCCGAGGGAUGGGCCCGCGUAGGAUUAGCUAGUUGGUGAGGUAAUGGCUCACCAAGGCGACGAUCCCUUAGCUGGUCUGAGAGGAUGAUCAGCCACACUGGGACUGAGACACGGCCCAGACUCCUACGGGAGGCAGCAGUGGGGAAUAUUGGACAAUGGGCGAAAGCCUGAUCCAGCAAUGCCGCGUGAGUGAUGAAGGCCUUCGGGUUGUAAAGCUCUUUUACCAGGGAUGAUAAUGACAGUACCUGGAGAAUAAGCUCCGGCUAACUCCGUGCCAGCAGCCGCGGUAAUACGGAGGGAGCUAGCGUUGUUCGGAAUUACUGGGCGUAAAGCGCACGUAGGCGGCUACUCAAGUCAGAGGUGAAAGCCCGGGGCUCAACCCCGGAACUGCCUUUGAAACUAGGUAGCUAGAAUCUUGGAGAGGUCAGUGGAAUUCCGAGUGUAGAGGUGAAAUUCGUAGAUAUUCGGAAGAACACCAGUGGCGAAGGCGACUGACUGGACAAGUAUGACGC